GUCAUCCCCAUUGAAAUCACUGGGUCUACGCACAGGAGUAAGGGAUUGUAGAAGCAAGUGCUGGUGAAAGUAGGUCUCAGGGGCAGGUUGGGGAUCCGUUGUACGAAGUGCAUGCAGGGAACGUUCCUGAGCGGCUUGCAACUCAGCAUGCCACGGGACUGAUCCUGAUCUCUCCUUCAGAGGUGCGACUCAGGGGCCACGCCGCAGCUGAAUGUUUGGAGUUGCUCACGAUUUACACCCCUGGGCCAGAGACAGCAUCCUGCCCACGGUCUUCAGGGGUCUCAGGUUCACGAUCCGGGGGUCAAAACCCUGCCGCCCUUCCCACAUUGCUCACUUACCUUG